rnacentral:lncRNA from 1 species
GAUAUAGAAUACUCUACCUGGAUAACAUCCCUGACAGGAUAUAGAAUACACAAUGCAUCUGACACAGAUUUAACUACGUGGACAACAUUACUGACAGAGAUUUAAACCAGGUGGACAACACUGUGUCUGAUAUGGACAGGAGAAAGCAGCACUGCUCUGAUGACCUGCAGAGAGGACAGGAGACAAAGAGACAGAUGUACAGAAGACGUUACUUGAAUCGUCUUCCACAUACACGUGAAUAAUGUAUAGUCAUUUGUAAACCCACUGAUCUUGGUGCCCUUUGCUUAAUGUAUUCAACAUGACCCCGGGACAACUUACUCCUUCUAAGGCUGAGAAACAGGUGUGUGAAAAUAUAUGACAGAUAAUGACAACAAUACGACGGGGGGUUUCUGUAUGCAGACAUUGAAUAAUAUCAUGUUCUGUAUAGAUAUGACAACAAUACGACGGGGGUUUUCUGUAUGCAGACAUUGAAUAAUAUAAUGUUCUGUAUAGAUAUGACAACAAUACGACGGGGGUUUUCUGUAUGCAGACAUUGAAUAAUAUCAUGUUCUGUAUAGAUAUGACAACAAUACGACGGGGGUUUUCUGUAUGCAGAUAUUGAAUAAUAUCAUGUUCUGUAUAGAUAUGACAACAAUACGACGGGGGGUUUUCUGUAUGCAGACAUUGAAUAAUAUCGUGUUCUGUAUAGAUAUGACAACAAUACGACGGGGGUUUUCUGUAUGCAGACAUUGAAUAAUAUCGUGUUCUGUAUAGAUAUGACAACAAUACGACGGGGGUUUUCUGUAUGCAGACAUUGACUAAUAUAAUGUUCUGUAUAGAUAUGACAACAAUACGACGGGGGGUUUUCUGUAUGCAGACAUUGACUAAUAUAAUGUUCUGUAUAGAUAUGACAACAAUACGACGGGGGUUUUCUGUAUGCAGACAUUGAAUAAUAUCAUGUUCUGUAUAGAUAUGACAACAAUACGACGGGGGUUUUCUGUAUGCAGACAUUGAAUAAUAUCAUGUUCUGUAUAGAUAUGACAACAAUACGACGGGGGUUUUCUGUAUGCAGACAUUGAAUAAUAUCAUGUUCUGUAUAGAUAUGACAACAAUACGACGGAGGGUUUUCUGUAUGCAGACAUUGAAUAAUAUCAUGUUCUGUAUAGAUAUGACAACAAUACGACGGGGGUUUUCUGUAUGCAGACAUUGAAUAAUAUCAUGUUCUGUAUAGAUAUGACAACAAUACGACGGGGGUUUUCUGUAUGCAGACAUUGAAUAAUAUCAUGUUCUGUAUAGAUAUGACAACAAUACGACGGGGGUUUUCUGUAUGCAGACAUUGAAUAAUAUCAUGUUCUGUAUAGAUAUGACAACAAUACGACGGGGGUUUUCUGUAUGCAGACAUUGAAUAAUAUCAUGUUCUAUACCAAAACAUAUUCUUGAAAACAAGUACAGCAUGUAAACCAGAAAUAAAGGCAGAUCAUAGUUUUAAUUCUGUGUCAACAAACUGUUCUAAAAAUAUGUAUCUUGUUCUUCUCGGCUCUGUUGGCUGGUGGAGUUGCUUCAUUGUUAAAUCUAUAUUUUUUUUAAAGGUAUGAUAAAUAUAUAUAUAUAUGUUUUAUAUGAAAAAGGGAUUGGUUUAAAACUGGAGAUUUUAUUUGAUAGAUUUAUAACAUUCAAUUAUGUUUGUUUUUUUUUACAUUUCUUUUAUGUUGAUAAAAUGUUUUGCCUUGAUGAGAACAUGGCAGGCAGGUAGAGGGUGACUAAAAACAAAAUGGCUUCCUUUCAAAACAAUCCCGUUCCGUGUUCACGUGCUAAUCGGAACUUGGACAUUUCAGACAUGCUAACUGGUUGUGGUUACACACGCGCCCGCGUUCAACCAGUUAGAAAGUCUGAAUUUCCUAGUUCCGACUAGCAAGUGAACACGGCGUUAAACCCCCCCAUUUUCCGCGCAGGGAUAUGACAUCAUCAGUAUGAAUCUGCUGCAGGUGUUUUGACGAAUGUUUAUAUGUUGUUGUUUAAAAUAAAAAUUUUUUUUUUUUUUAUCAUUUAAAUGAUUGAUUGUUUUUAAAAAAAAUCAUUUAAAUGAUUGCUUGUUUUUUUAAAACAUUUAAAUUAUUAAUUAAAUAAUUUUUUUAAAAUCAUUUUAAAUGAUUGAUUGUUUUUUAAAUUUUUAUCAUUUUAAUGAUUGAUUGUUUGAUUUUUUAAAACAUUUAAAUUAUUAAUUUUUUUUUUAAAUUUUUAUCAUUUUAAAUGAUUGAUUGUUUUUUAAAUUUUUAUCAUUUUAAUGAUUGAUUGUUUGAUUUUUUAAAGCAUUUAAAUUAUUAUUUUUUUUAUUUUUUUUUAAUCAUUUUUAAUGAUUGAUUGUUAUUUAGUUUUUUAAUCAGAAUGCUGUAUCUCUGUUAAUUGAUUGAAGGCAUCUACCUCAGUGUCCGCAUCACGUUUCAUUUCCAACAGCAGCUGUGACCCCUGGGGUCGUGUUCCAAUGGAAGACAACAGGAAGGGGACUACCUUGAGUUCAACAAUAAGAAACACUCACCCCGUGUUAACUAUGUCACCCCGUGUUACCCCGUGUUAACUAUGUCACCCCGUGUUAACUAUGUCACACCGUGUCACCCCGUGUUAACUAUGUCACCCCAUAUCACCCCAUGUUAACUAUGUCACCCCGUGUUAACUAUGUCACCCUGUGUUAACUAUGGCACCCCAUGUCACCCCGUGUUAACUAUGGCACCCCGUGUCACCCGGUGUUAACUAUGUCACCCCAUGUCACCCCGUGUUAACUAUGCACCCCGUGUCAGGCCCAGUUAAAACAACCAGUAAUGCCCUAUUCGAUGCAGCAUUGUGAUAAACCCUACUGUCUCCCUGGACUGCAGUACAACAUCAACCCAGUACACCAUCAACCCAGUACACCAUCAACCCAGUACACCAUCAACCCAGUACACCAUCAACCCAGUACACCAUAUUAUACAGUGGUAUAGAUAUCACCAUAUUAUACAGGGAACUCAUCACCGUCGACCCAGUCAGAUGUACUGGUAUAGAUAUCACCGUCGACCCAGUCAGAUGUACUGGUAUAGAUAUCACCAUCGACCCAAUCAGAUGUACUGGUAUAGAUAUCACCGUCGACCCAGUCAGAUGUACUGGUAUAGAUAUCACCAUCGACCCAGUCAGAUGUACUGGUAUAGAUAUCACCGUCGACCCAGUCAGAUGUACUGGUAUAGAUAUCACCAUCGACCCAGUCAGAUGUACUGGUAUAGAUAUCACCAUCGACCCAGUCAGAUGUACUGGUAUAGAUAUCACCAUCGACCCAAUCAGAUGUACUGGUAUAGAUAUCACCGAUCGACCCAG